CACCCGAAGCCCGUGGCCCAACCACUUGUGGGGGGAGCGGUCGAAGGUGGGGCUGGCGAUUGGGACGAAGUCGUAACAAGGUAGCCGUACCGGAAGGUGCGGCUGGAUCACCUCCUUUCUAAGGAGCA
rnacentral:rRNA from 1 species